AUCCGGAGGGUCCAAGCGUUAUCCGGAAUCAUUGGGUUUAAAGGGUUCGCAGGCGGUUUAAUAAGUCAGUGGUGAAAUCUCGGGGCUCAACCUCGAAACUGCCAUUGAUACUGUUAGACUUGAAUACAGUUGGAGUAGGCGGAAUGUGUAGUGUAGCGGUGAAAUGCUUAGAUAUUACACAGAACACCGAUAGCGAAGGCAGCUUACUAAACUGUGAUUGACGCUCAUGAACGAAAGCGUGGGGAGCGAACAGGAUUAGAAACCCUAGUAGUCC
rnacentral:rRNA from 1 species